rnacentral:lncRNA from 1 species
UGGAGAGCCGGCUCCUCCGGGGAAGGGUGCGUGCAGAGCAGCGCCUCCGGCCGGAUUCCGCCCUUCCUUGGGCCCCGCCUGCGGCUCAGCUCAUCCGAGCCCAACCUCUGGCACCUCCAUGCGGACCUGCACCUACUGCCCCCGCCCACCCGACGCCACCUAGCAGCACCCUGCGGCUCCAGGGGUGCCCUGUUGGCCUUUUGGGAAACUCGACGCCGCCGGGCCCAGGCUCCAGCCUCUGGCCAAGGGUGUCCCGAAGACAGGGCUGCAGGGCGGAGGGCCAGGAGCCCGACCCGGCCCAAGAUGGGCUGUUAAGAAGAUGGGUCACUAGGCGCCAAGCAGAAGCAGAUGGACGACCAGAGCCAGAGUCCCGGGGAGGGCAGACCCACAGGUUCACAAGAGAAUGAAUUCUCCUAUAAAAACACAUCCCUGGGCCAUAUUGUCAGAGCUGGACAAUACUUCUCAAACACAGUGAAGAAGAACUGUCCAUAUUGGCAGUUGUUAAUGAUCAUCAGUGAUGUGAAACAACUAAAUAAAAUCAAGAAUGAAAAAUGACCCCGUUUAAUCGAUACUUCUGGGAAGUUCAGUUUCCAGACGUGACAUGCAGCACAGAGUUCACGUUGACCAAGCACAUGUGGAGAAUUCUCUGUGAAGGAGAACCAACAAGACCAGCCCACAAAGUGUAUAAAUACUGGAACGACCAGACCUGGAAAACAACCGUGUUUACUAUGUUCGAAGGGAAAAAGGUAAGCAUAUGAAAGGAAACAUCUACAUGUAGGGGUGAAUCUAAAAUGCCUGAAAGAGACCAAAGGGAACUUGUAUAAGUGAAAUAUAAACCAUUAAAAAGAGUCCAUAGACAAAAUCAACCAUCAUUAAAAAUACGUGAAGGGAGAAUUAGCGAGUCAGAAAAAAAUCAGAAGAAAUUACAAGAACACAGCAGAGAAACUAAGACAUGUGGUAAACAGAGACAUAGAAGGAUGGAUGUUGGAUCAGCAUCCUUGAAGGAAAAGAGGAUGGGUUGAGAUCAUCUUCGAGGAAAUAAUGACAGAGCAUUUUCCAGGACUGAGAGUUGGUUUCAAGAAUUGGUUUCAAGAAUCGCACCAAAUUGCACCAAAGGAAAGACACCAAAAAUCGGUUUCAAGAAUUGCAACAAAUUCCCAGUGUAUAAACACAAAGAAAUUUAGAUAUAGACACAUCAGGGUAAAACUGGGGCAUACCAAAAUCAGGUGAAACAUAUAGAUGUAACCAGUAAGCAAAAGAGAUGAAAAGAAACUGAUCUGAAAGGACAAACAGUUAAAUCAGCAGUUGAUUUCUGAACAACAGCAAUGAAAGUGGCAAGUGGAAGGAUAAUAUAACAGCCAACCUCAGAAUUCUCUACUAAGUCGAAGAUAUUUUCAAGCAUUAGGACAAAAGCUAGAAUGACACUAAAAGCAUUUGUUACCAGCAGGACCUCAUUACGCAUAACAAGUAAUUUUAUAUUAUGAACUUCAAGCAGAAGGAAAGUUGACCCUGAUGGAAGGUCUGCCAUGGAAGGAAAAAGAACAACAACAAAAACAUGGUGGUAAACAUGUAGAGAUGAAUCUAAGUAAACGUUCAUUGUAAAACCAAAUUAUUUCCUCAUGGAAUAAGUAAAAAAAAAAACCACAAUGUAGAAUUAAAAUAUUCUCCCCCUCCGCAUAUUAUUCAAGUGAGGCAUAGAAAUAAAAGGGUUGUGGGGCACCUGGGUGGCUCA